GACGAACGCUGGCGGCGUGCUUAACACAUGCAAGUCGAACGGAAAGGCCCUGCUUUUGUGGGGUGCUCGAGUGGCGAACGGGUGAGUAACACGUGAGUAACCUGCCCUUGACUUUGGGAUAACUUCAGGAAACUGGGGCUAAUACCGGAUAGGAGCUCCUGCUGCAUGGUGGGGGUUGAAAGUUUCGGCGGUUGGGGAUGGACUCGCGGCUUAUCAGCUUGUUGGUGGGGUAGUGGCUUACCAAGGCUUUGACGGGUAGCCGGCCUGAGAGGGUGACCGGCCACAUUGGGACUGAGAUACGGCCCAGACUCCUACGGGAGGCAGCGGUGGGGAAUAUUGCACAAUGGGCGGAAGCCUGAUGCAGCAACGCCGCGUGCGGGAUGACGGCCUUCGGGUUGUAAACCGCUUUCGCCUGUGACGAAGCGUGAGUGACGGUAAUGGGUAAAGAAGCACCGGCUAACUACGUG
rnacentral:rRNA from 1 species